CAGAGGGCAUGUUGGAGGAUACUUGUGACAACACACACACAGACGCAACCUGAUCCCAGACUAUUGGCCAAGCGUCCUGUCUCUCACCAGUGACAAGCUCACUGGUGCCUUCGGUCCGACCAGAAGAAGGACGAGUUUCCUGCAACUCGGUUGCAUUGUGGGUGAGAAAAGGGGUCACUGAGGAAAAAGGGGGUGGGCCUGAAAGAUGACGAAUGCUGUCACUUCCUGUUCCGAGCUGGAGUCAAGUCUAUACCACAGUGUUGUUUGUACCCAUGGCCUUCUUGGUGCGGAUGCUCAUAGCGUAUUCCCCGCGACUUGUCCCGUUCUCUUCCUUGCGUAGCGGUUUCCUAACAACAACAACAACAACAACAAAAACGGUGAGCACCUGAUACAAGAUCAAUACAAUUUAACCACCAAUGGCCGCAAUAAAUGUAUGAUUUUAAAAAUAAAUCAAUCAAUAAAA